rnacentral:sRNA from 1 species
AUUCCAGAUGACCUGAGGAAGAGACUAAAUAUAGAAAUGCAUGCCGUAGUCAGGAUAACUCCAGUGGAAGUUACCCCUAAAAUUCCAAGAUCUCUAAAGUUACAACCUAGAGAGAAUUUACCUAAAGACAUAAGUGAAGAAGACAUAAAAACUGUAUUUUAUUCAUGGCUACAGCAGUCCACUACCACCAUGCUUCCUUUGGUAAUAUCAGAGGAAGAAUUUAUUAAGCUGGAAACUAAAGAUGGGCUGAAGGAAUUUUCUCUGAGUAUAGUUCAUUCUUGGGAAAAAGAAAAAGAUAAAAAUAUUUUUCUGUUGAGUCCCAAUUUGCUGCAGAAGACUACAAUACAAGUAAUAGCAUAUUAUUGAAUAUUUAAUAAAAUACUAUUUGUUACAUAUGAUUGAUAAUAAAGUAUGAAGUUCCUUGUAA